AAUAGAUACCCCGGUAGUCCACGCCGUAAACGAUGAGUGCUAAGUGUUAGGGGGUUUCCGCCCCUUAGUGCUGCAGCUAACGCAUUAAGCACUCCGCCUGGGGAGUACGGUCGCAAGACUGAAACUCAAAGGAAUUGACGGGGGCCCGCACAAGCGGUGGAGCAUGUGGUUUAAUUCGAAGCAACGCGAAGAACCUUACCAGGUCUUGACAUCCCAUUGACCACUAUGGAGACAUAGUUUUCCCUUCGGGGACAACGGUGACAGGUGGUGCAUGGUUGUCGUCAGCUCGUGUCGUGAGAUGUUGGGUUAAGUCCCGCAACGAGCGCAACCCUUGUUCUUAGUUGCCAUCUAUUUAGUUGGGCACUCUAAGGAGACUGCCGGUGACAAACCGGGAGGAAGGUGGGGAUGACGUCAAAUCAUCAUGCCCCUUAUGACCUGGGCUACACACGUGCUACAAUGGACGGUACAAACGGUUGCCAACCCGCGAGGGGGAGCUAAUCCGAUAAAACCGUUCUCAGUUCGGAUUGUAGGCUGCAACUCGCCUACAUGAAGACC
rnacentral:rRNA from 1 species